AUGAACGCUGGCGGCGUGCCUAAUACAUGCAAGUCGAGCGAACGGACGAGAAGCUUGCUUCUCUGAUGUUAGCGGCGGACGGGUGAGUAACACGUGGAUAACUUACCUAUAAGACUGGGAUAACUUCGGGAAACCGGAGCUAAUACCGGAUAAUAUUUUGAACCGCAUGGUUCAAAAGUGAAAGACGGUCUUGCUGUCACUUAUAGAUGGAUCCGCGCUGCAUUAGCUAGUUGGUAAGGUAACGGCUUACCAAGGCAACGAUGCAUAGCCGACCUGAGAGGGUGAUCGGCCACACUGGAACUGAGACACGGUCCAGACUCCUACGGGAGGCAGCAGUAGGGAAUCUUCCGCAAUGGGCGAAAGCCUGACGGAGCAACGCCGCGUGAGUGAUGAAGGUCUUCGGAUCGUAAAACUCUGUUAUUAGGGAAGAACAUAUGUGUAAGUAACUGUGCACAUCUUGACGGUACCUAAUCAGAAAGCCACGGCUAACUACGUG
rnacentral:rRNA from 1 species